UUUUUUUUUUUCCUUUUAUUUUUAAUUAAAUUUUUUUAAACCAUUUUAAAUAUCAUACCAAACAAGUUCUUGAAUCUUAAAUAAAAUUGUUCUUAAAAGAUAUUCUUAAGAAAUAUUUUAAAAAAUUAUGAAAACAUUUAAGUACGAUACCAAACACGCCCUAACCAAACUCCCAAAAAUAAGAUUUCUCUGCCUACCCGGCCUGAUACUUGGGUUACCAAAACCACCAAAUGAGCAAUGAGUAAAUUUAUUAACAAUGCAAGAGGUGCGCUUAACGUUUAUUUUUGCAGGCUGUGUACGAAAAGGCUUGCAUACAUACAUACAUACAUAUAUAUACACACACACCAAACUUGAAUUGACAAAUUCUAAACUUAAAAUUGCAUAAUUUAAUUAUAAGAACAUGAACCAACCUUAAAUUGACAAAUUUCAAAUUUCCAAGCAAACAUAAAGAUGAUCUUACAAAUUAAGAUCAUUCACAAAACAUACAAAAUGAAAUUGCAAAACGGGAAAAUCCACUUCACUUGUUCCAGUCCUCCUCGUCAUCAUUCAGAAGAUCACCAUGCAAAAUUCAAGCACUGUCAUGGGAUUUUAUUUAAUGAUAACAGGGUAUUAUUACUCACUACUUAGGUCGUCAUCACAGAUUCUCUCUGGGCAUCCUAGUAC
rnacentral:lncRNA from 1 species